rnacentral:rRNA from 1 species
CAGCAGCCGCGGUAAUACGAAGGGGGCUAGCGUUGUUCGGAUUUACUGGGCGUAAAGGGCGCGUAGGCGGGCGAAUAAGUCAGGGGUGAAAUCCCAAGGCUCAACCUUGGAACUGCCUUUGAUACUGUUUGUCUUGAGUUCGAGAGAGGUAAGUGGAACUGCGAGUGUAGAGGUGAAAUUCGUAGAUAUUCGCAAGAACACCAGUGGCGAAGGCGGCUUACUGGCUCGACACUGACACUGAGAGACGAAAGCUAGGGGAGCAAAUGGGAUUAGAUACCCGCGUAGUCCCUGUCUCUUAUAC